UUUCCUUAAGUUCUCCUUUUAUGAAAAAAGCACAGACUCCACCCACGCUGUUUAAGCCCAGGUCUGAGCCAUGGGCUCUGCCCGGCUCACUGCUGUAGUCUCCCUGCAGGGAGGCAGAGAGAAACCCCGGCGAGCAGUGGCCCAGCUGACAGCGUCACUGCAGUAAGGGCAGAGUGACAGAGAAGGAAGAGGGAUAACACCUGCGGUGAAACUCACCACUCCGGGCUGAUCCCAGGAGGACUAUCUACUGGGUGGAGAACUCCCUGUGCCGUGCCGCAGAUUCAAAAGCAGAGGAAUUAUUUCAAGAUAAUGUCAAAAACUCAGUGGCAACGAUGAAUCGUGGAAGAUUUCUUUCAAUUUUGUCCGAAAUCUUUGCCUCUGCUGACGCCCAAGGAAAUGGAACAGACAGAAACGCACAGAGAAGCGUUCUGCACAAGCCCUUGCUGCAGAGAAGGCAUUUGUAAAAAAGAAACCAGUGCUCAUGUUAGCUUAUUGGAAUAAAUAUCUUCAGAACCGUGAAGUUCA
rnacentral:lncRNA from 1 species